AGGUGAGUAGCUCAAUUGGUAGAGCACCGGUCUCCAAAACCGGGGGUUGGGGGUUCGACACCCUCCUCGCCUGCCA
rnacentral:tRNA from 1 species